AUUGAACGCUGGCGGAAUGCUUUACACAUGCAAGUCGAACGGCAGCACGGACUUCGGUCUGGUGGCGAGUGGCGAACGGGUGAGCAAUGUAUCGGAACGUGCCCAGUCGUGGGGGAUAACGUAGUGAAAAUUACGCUAAUACCGCAUACGAUCUAGGGAUGAAAGCGGGGGAGCGCAAGACCGCGCGCGUCUGGAGCGGCGGAGAUCGGAUUAGGUAGUUGGUGGGGUAAAGGCCCACCAAGCCUACGAUCUGUAGCUGGUCUGAGAGGACGACCAGCCAAACUGGAACGGAGACACGGUCCAGACUCCUACGGGAGGCAGCAGUGGGGAAUUUUGGACAAUGGGCGAACGCCUGAUCCAGCCAUUCCGCGUGCAGGAUGAAGGCCCUCGGGUUGUAAACGGCUUUUGUACAGAACGAAAAGGUUUCUACUAAUACUAGGAGCUCAUGACGGUACUGUAAGAAUAAGCCCCGGCUAACUACGUGCCAGCCGCCGCCGUAA
rnacentral:rRNA from 1 species